rnacentral:rRNA from 1 species
CUACGGGUCGCUCCAGUGAGGAAUAUUGCACAAUGGGGGGAACCCUGAUGCAGCAACGCCGCGUGGAGGAUGACGCAUUUCGGUGUGUAAACUCCUUUUAUAUGUCAAGAAAAUGACGGUAGUAUAUGAAUAAGCACCGGCUACUCCGUGCCAGCAGCCGCGGUAAUACGGAGGGUGCAAGCGUUACUCGGAAUCACUGGGCGUAAAGGACGCGUAGGCGGGUUGGAAAGUCAGGUGUGAAAUCCUACAGCUUAACUGUAGAACUGCACUUGAAACUUCUAAUCUAGAGUAUGGGAGGGGGAGAUGGAAUUAGUGGUGUAGGGGUAAAAUCCGUAGAUAUCACUAGGAAUACCUAAAGCGAAGGCGAUCUCCUGGAACAUUACUGACGCUAAGGCGUGAAAGCGCGGGGAGCAAACAGGAUUAGAUACCCUGGUAGUC